AUUGAACGCUGGCGGCAGGCCUAACACAUGCAAGUCGAGCGGAUGAAGGGAGCUUGCUCCUGGAUUCAGCGGCGGACGGGUGAGUAAUGCCUAGGAAUCUGCCUGGUAGUGGGGGAUAACGUCCGGAAACGGGCGCUAAUACCGCAUACGUCCUGAGGGAGAAAGUGGGGGAUCUUCGGACCUCACGCUAUCAGAUGAGCCGAGGUCGGAUUAGCUAGUUGGGGGGGUAAAGGCCUACCAAGGCGACGAUCCGUAACUGGUCGGAGAGGAUGAUCAGCCACAGUGGAACUGAGACAAGGUACAGAAGACUAAGGGAGGAAGCAGGGGGGAAUAGUGGACAAUGGGAGAAAGCCUGACCCAGCCAUACUGAGGGGGUGAAGAAGGUCUUCGAGUUGUAAAGGUGUUUGGUGGGGAAAGAAAAGCAGCAGGUUAAUACCUCGCUGGUCUGACGGUACCCAAAGAAUAAGCACCGGCUAACUUCGUG
rnacentral:rRNA from 1 species